rnacentral:rRNA from 1 species
ACGGAGGAUGCAAGCGUUAUCCGGAUUCACUGGGUUUAAAGGGUGCGCAGGCGGGAUAAUAAGUCAGAGGUGAAAUCCUACGGCUCAACUGUAGAACUGCCUUUGAUACUGUUGUUCUUGAGUAAAGUUGGAGUGGGCGGAAUGUGUUGUGUAGCGGUGAAAUGCUUAGAUAUAACACAGAACACCGAUCGCGAAGGCAGCUCACUAAGCUUUAACUGACGCUCAUGCACGAAAGCGUGGGGAUCAAACAG